rnacentral:rRNA from 1 species
CCUACGGGAGGCAGCAGUGAGGAAUAUUGGUCAAUGGCCGGAAGGCUGAACCAGCCAUGCCGCGUGAAGGUCAGUGCUCUAUGGGCGUGAAACCUCCUUUGGUCGGGAGCAAUAAUGGUCACGUGUGGCCAGACGAGAGUACCGUACGGAUAAACAUCGGCGAACUCCGUGCCAGCAGCCGCGGUAAUACGGGGGAUGCAAGCGUUAUCCGGAUUUAUUGGGUUUAAAGGGGGCGCAGGCGGGAGAUAAAGUCAGCGGUAAAAUGUCGGGGCUCAACCCCGGCCGGCCGUUGAAACUGGUUGUCUAGAGUUGGAGAGAGGUAUGCGGAAUUCGUGGUGUAGCGGUGAAAUGCAUAGAUAUCACGAAGAACUCCGAUUGCGAAGGCAGCAUACCGGCUCCAUACUGACGCUGAGGCACGAAAGCGUGGGGAUCGAACAGGAUUAGAUACCCCAGUAGUC